rnacentral:rRNA from 1 species
AAAGUCUAGCCUGCCCAAUGAGGAGUUUAAUGGCCGCAGUAUUUUGACUGUGCAAAGGUAGCAUAAUCAUUAGUUUCUUAAUUAGGAACUGGAAUGAAAGGUUGGACGAGAAAAUAACUGUCUCUUAAUAAAUUUUUUAGAAUUUUAUUUUUAAGUUAAAAAGCUUAAAUAUUUUUAAAAGACGAGAAGACCCUAUAGAGUUUUAUAAAAGUUUUUAUAAUUUUAAUUUAUGAAUAAUUUAAAAUUUUUAUAUAAAUUUUUAUUUGAUUGGGGUGAUUAAAAAAUUUAUAAAACUUUUUUUUUAUUAAAACAUUAAUUUAUGAUUUAUUGAUCCAUUAAUUAUGAUUAUAAGAUUAAAUUACCUUAGGGAUAACAGCGUAAUUUCUUUUAAGAGUUCAAAUCGAUAGAGAAGAUUGCGACCUCGAUGUUGGAUUAAAAUAAAAUUUUGGUGUAGAAGCUAAAAGAUUAGGUCUGUUCGACCUUUAAAAUUUUACAUGAUCUGAGUUUAAACCGGUGUAAGCCAGGUUGGUUUCUAUCUUUAAAUAGAUAAAAUAUUUUAGUACGAAAGGACCAAAUAAUAGUAAAAUUUAU